AGAACUUUAACAAGCUGUAACAUCCAAUCCGACCAUCCUCUUGAUGUGGAAUUUUUGCAUGCAAUUGUCAAUAUAAGUCUUCUAUAUGUUCAAGAAUUUUUAGUCCAAUCCAACUUACAGAUUGUGAGAAAAAUUCCAAAAAUUACACUAAUGUCACUCGGCCACCAACUUGAAAAGUGAAGUAGAAAUACCAGUAGUGAUUUUUCUCUUUCCAAUCAUUAACUUUGUUUCAAAAUUAAUAUAUAGCUUGAUCUUCAAGUCUUUCAACACCACCCCAAUUUUCACCUUAAUCCAACUAAUAGAUCUUCAAAUAUCAUAGAAACCCUAUCCAACCUCAAACUGCCACCUUCCAAAACCUUCUUGUACUAAAAACUAGUUAUUUCUAAACCACGUCAUUAGAUUAUCACAAAAUUUUGUAUACACUUAGCACAUCUAAUAAUCCAAAUAGUUUCAGAUUUUUAACUAUAGAUGUUAUAUCAAUUACACGAACUAGUCCAAAUUGCUAGCCCUAAUUAUAUUAAAUAAAACCCAAAUCAUUGAUACAAACCCUAACUUUGAACAAAAAUGGUUAAGUACUCAAAAACCUUCCAAAAAUAAUCCUUAGGCCUUUAGAAAGAAAUUCAAGCUAGCUCUCAAAUCCUAUCCUUCGAUCUUUGAAUGCAUCCCUAUUUUAUCCUAGGCCGUUGUUUUAGUGGCUAGAGAUAUGAUUUCGACCCUAUCUUA
rnacentral:lncRNA from 1 species